AUUGAACGCUGGCGGAAUGCUUUACACAUGCAAGUCGAACGGCAGCACGGACUUCGGUCUGGUGGCGAGUGGCGAACGGGUGAGUAAUGUAUCGGAACGUGCCCAGUCGUGGGGGAUAACGUAGUGAAAAUUCAGCUAAUACCGCAUACGAUCUAUGGAUGAAAGCGGGGGAACGCAAGACCUCGCGCGGUUGGAGCAGCCGAUAUCAGAUUAGGUAGUUGGUGGGGUAAAGGCCCACCAAGCCAACGAACUGUAGCUGGUCUGAGAGGACGACCAGCCACACGGGAACUGAGACACGGUCCAGACUCCUACGGGAGGCAGCAGUGGGGAAUUUUGGACAAUGGGCGAAAGCCUGAUCCAGCCAUUCCGCGUGCAGGAUGAAGGCCCUCGGGUUGUAAACUGCUUUUGUACAGAACGAAAAGGUUUCUACUAAUACUAGGAGCUCAUGACGGUACUGUAAGAAUAAGCACCGGCUAACUACGUGCCAGCCGCCGCCGUAA
rnacentral:rRNA from 1 species